GUUUUGUCACAGCCUAAUUUACAGAUCAGUGUGGGCUGAUGCACAGAGAGAGGCGUCUCCUGUUUCAGUGUCAGCAGAUGUUGUUUUGAUGUCACACCAGCCAUGCUGCAUCACCCCCCUGGAGACAGCCAGAGGUUGGCAGCAUCCAGCAGAGGAUUCUCCUGGGAAAUCUGCCUCAGCAUUGCCCCACAGUGCAGCUGCAGAACAUCUGGCCUCUGCCAUUCCCCACUGAACCAAGGGAACCCUGAUAUUGCAGGCACAGGCUUAGGAGGUGUGUUUCUUCACCAGUAGCUCUGGCUGGAAAACAAGGAGGAUGGAUAGAUUGUGUGUCAGGAUUGCUGGGAAAACCAUUUGUGCCUGCUGACUUCAAGGUUUGCUGCUCUGGAGCGUGGACCCAGCCUGGUGAGUGCCUUGGAAAUGG
rnacentral:lncRNA from 1 species